rnacentral:rRNA from 1 species
GACGAACGCUGGCGGCGUGCUUAACACAUGCAAGUCGAACGGAAAGGCCCCUUUGGGGGUCCUCGAGUGGCGAACGGGUGAGUAACACGUGAGUAACCUGCCCUUGACUUCGGGAUAACUUCAGGAAACUGGGGCUAAUACCGGAUAGGAAUCCUUGCUGCAUGGUGGGGGUGGGAAGGCUUCGCGGGUUUUGGAUGAAUUCGCGGCUUAUCAGCUUGUUGGUGGGGUAGUGGCUUACCAAGGCUUUGACGGGUAGCCGGCCUGAGAGGGCGACCGGCCACAUUGGGACUGAGAUACGGCCCAGACUCCUACGGGAGGCAGCAGUGGGGAAUAUUGCACAAUGGGCGGAAGCCUGAUGCAGCAACGCCGCGUGCGGGAUGACGGCCUUCGGGUUGUAAACCGCUUUCAGCAGGGGCGAAGCUUGUGGUGACGGUACCUGCAGAAGAAGCACCGGCUAACUACGUG